GAGUUAGAUCAUGGUUCAGGAUGAAUCGCUGGCAGCGUGCCUGAACACAUACAAGUCGAACGAGAAAUUCGGCACUCAGGCGACUGAGUGCUGGAAAGUAAAGUGGCGCACGGGUGAGUAACGCGAGGGUAACCUGCCCUUGAUCCUGGGAUAACCCCGCGAAAGCGGGACUAAUACCGGAUAUCGUUUCGAGAACCAUGGUUUUCGGAAUGAAAGGUGACCUCUUCAUGAAAGUUGCUGUUCAGGGAGGGGCCCGCGUACCAUUAGCUUGUUGGUAGGGUAAUGGCCUACCAAGGCGACGAUGGUUAGCUGGUCUGAGAGGAUGAUCAGCCACACUGGAACUGAAACACGGUCCAGACUCCUACGGGAGGCAGC
rnacentral:rRNA from 1 species